rfam:Dipodomys ordii contig_1618, whole genome shotgun sequence.
GGUGGCUCAGUGGUAGAGCACUUGCCUUGAAUGCUCGAGGCCCUGGGUUCGAUUCCUCAGCACCA